rnacentral:misc_RNA from 1 species
CCGAGUUUACAACUCCCAAGCCCCUGUGAACAUACCACUUGUUGCCUCGGGCGGAUCAGCCCGCUCCCGGUAAAAACGGGACGGCCCGCCAGAGGACCCCUAAACUCUGUUUCUAUAUGUAACUUCUGAGUAAAACCAUAAAUAAAUCA